GACGAACGCUGGCGGCCCUGCCUAAUACAUGCAAGUCGAACGCUGACGGCUCGAGCUUGCUCGUUCCGGAUGACUUACCCACGGCAGAAUUGCGCGGGGGUUUUCUGCAUGGGAGCGACGGAUAACUAUUGCAACCCAUUGCUACUACCGUAGAACCGUACAUGUAGCCUGACACCUAUGGGACAGGAGGAAUUGCUCCCGUCCCAGAUGGACCCGCAGUGUAUUACCUAGUUGGCGAGGGAACCGCUCACCAUAGCUACUAGCCAUAACCAACCUGAGUAGGUGAUGGGGCACGAUGUAACUGAGACUCUGCCCACACGUCGUAGAGGACGAACCUGCAGGGACUCUUCGGCAGUGCACGGAGGUCUGACCGAUCCUCACCGCGUGAGUGAAAAAGGUACUCGGAUCGGAGAGCUCUGUUGUAACAGAAUAACAAGCGUGAGACUCGGAAAGUUCGCACGGCGCCGGUAUCUUACCUGAGAGGUACGGCUAACUACCUGCCAUCAGCCGGGGUGAUACAUAGGUCCCGAGCGGCAGCGCGAUUUCUUGGGCGUGCAGCGAGCACCUAUGGUUAAAUAAGUCGGAAGUGAACGGCUGUGGUAUAGCCUUAGGACGCUUCGGAAAGUGUUCAACUUGAAUGCUCAAUGAGAGAGUGGAAUUCCGUGUGCACCGGUGAAGUGCCUACAUAUAUGGAGGAACACCGGUGGGGAAAGGGGGUCUCCGGUCUGUAACUGGCCCCUAAGGCUCCAAAGUGUGGGGAGCAAACAGGAUUAGAUACCCCGGGAAUCCCCGCCCUAAACGAUGAGUGCUAAGUGUGGGGUCGUUUCCGGCACUCAGUGCCGCAGCUAGCGCAUUAAGCACUCCCCCUGGGGAGUACGCCCUCAAGGUUGAAACUCUAAGGAAUUGGCGGGGGCCCCCACAAGCGGGGGAGCAUGUGGUUUUAUUCGAAGCGCCGCGAAAAACCUUUCCCCGUCGUGACAUCCCUAUGACCCCUCUAGCGAUAUAGUUUUCCUUCGGGACAGAGGUGACAGGUGGGGCAUGGUUGUCGUCACCUCGUGUCGUGAGAUGUUGGGUUAAAUCCCGCAACGAGCGCAACCCCUAUUGUUAGUUGCCAUCAUUGAGUUGGGCACUUUAGCGAGACUGCCGGUAACUAAACCGGAGGAAGGUGGGGAUGACGUCAAAUCAUCAUGCCCCUUAUGACCUGGGCUACACACGUGCUACAAUGGCUGGUACAACGAGUUGCUAGUCGGUGAGGACAAGCUAAUCUCACAAAGCCAGUCUCAGUUCGGAUUGUAGGCUGCAACUCGCCUCCAUGAAGUCGGAAUCGCUAGUAAUCGCGGAUCAGCAUGACGCGGUGAAUACGUUCCCGGCCCU
rnacentral:rRNA from 1 species